rnacentral:rRNA from 1 species
CCUACGGUGGGCAGCAGUGGGGAAUAUUGCACAAUGGGGGAAACCCUGAUGCAGCGACGCCGCGUGAGUGAAGAAGUAAUUCGUUAUGUAAAGCCCUGUCAGCAGGGAAGAAAAUGACGGUACCUGACCAAGAAGCCCCGGCUAACUACGUGCCAGCAGCCGCGGUAAUACGUAGGGGGCAAGCGUUAUCCGGAUUUACUGGGUGUAAAGGGAGCGUAGACGGCAAGGCAAGUCUGGAGUGAAAGCCCGUGGCUCAACCACGGGACUGCUUUGGAAACUGUGUUGCUGGAGUGCAGGAGGGGUAAGCGGAAUUCCUAGUGUAGCGGUGAAAUGCGUAGAUAUUAGGAGGAACACCGGUGGCGAAGGCGGCUUACUGGACUGUAACUGACGUUGAGGCUCGAAGGCGUGGGGAGCAAACAGGAUUAGAUACCCCAGUAGUC